AGAGGCCAAUUUACAUGUAGACUUUGUGUUGUUGUUGUUGUUUUUAACAAUUUAUUUAUUUAUUUAUAUGUAUGUGAAUAUACUGCUGCUAUCUUAAGACACACCAGAAGAGGGCAUCGGAUCCUAUUACAGAUGGAAGAGCAGUCACUGCUCUUAACCCUUGAGCCUUCUCUCCAGACCCCUAGACUUUAUUUUUUUAAAUGAUGGGUUUUGUGUAUGUGUUUUCUGUUACAGGAUGUUAAUUUUUAAAGAAGCUGAUCUAAAUGUUAAUGACUCCAGGAAAAAGUGUCAAUCCAUCUUGAACUCUUUUUAGUUCUGCUUAUUUAUAGUGCAAUGUUGAUUCUUGUUCAGUGUGUGAGCUGACCUGGCUUAGGAUUCUUUUGGCCUUUGUAUAGUAUGAGGUAAAUGUAAGACUCUCUCUCAGUAAGACUAGUUUUGUAUUCACUGUUCAUUUUCAUGUGCUCCAUAAAUGAAAUUGCUGUGUUUGUUCCUGUAACUGGCCCUGAGACUGUGUUUGAUGCAUGUGGCAUCUUGUCCAUGCAUCUUCAUUUUCAUCCUGCUCCAGAACCUCAGAAGGCUGAGUUUUUCUUGGUAGAGUGACACCGUCUUUUGUUCCUUAAGCAUCUCCAAGUUAGUCAUGGGGGUUGUUGUUGUCUUGUUAUUAAAAUUAUUCAUUUAUUUGCAUUGAGAUAGUAUCAAGAAUUACUACAGAAACACCCUUGGCUCUACUUCUAGUCCUCUUUGCUCUUGUUUCCUUUUGUCUGUUGAAACCAGUCACUGCGGCCAGUGGCCAGUACUUCUUUAGCAAAUAGAUUUCAUGGCUGGGGGUAAUCUUAUCUGCCAAUUCAGAAACAGUUCCCUAGUCUACUAGUAAGCUUCAGCUGUCGAUUUUUUUUCCCUGAUGGAGUCUCAGUUGGAGAUUGCCUCUAUCAGACUGGUUUGUUGGCAUGUUAAUGUAGGAGUGCUCCGUCUCAUGAGGACAGUGCCAUCCCUAUGUAGGAGGUCCUGGGCUGUAAAGAAAGCUAGCUGAGCAAGCCAGUAAAUGGUGUUCUUCCAUGGGCUCUGAACCACUUUAUGACCUGACUUCUCUCAGUGAACUGUGACUUCCAAGUAUAAGCUCAAAUAAAUCUUUUACUCUGGGAGUUAAUUUGAAAUAGUUAACACCCCAAAACAAAGGAAGAGCUUUAUGUUAAAAGAAAUACUUGGCAUUUGGCAAAUUUUUCUAGAAAUAGGUUAUUAAUUAGAGUAUUGAUUUCUUUGUAAAUUGAUCAAAACAUUUUAAAUUAAUCUAUUUACAUUUUGUGUGCCUGUAUGUGCAUGUCUGUGUGCCACAGUGUGUGUGUGUGUGUGUGUGUGUGUGUGUGUGUGUGUGUGUGUGUGUGUAAGUUAGAGGGAACGUGGGGGAAUCAGUUCAUGCCUUCUUUGAUGUGGAUUCUGAGGAUCAACUCAGGUUUUCAGUCUUGGAGGCUAGCCUCUACUGAUUCAUCUUGAUGACUUUGUUAAAAUUCUUAUGUCAGUUACUAUGUAUGAAGAUGUUAAAAGUUACAAAUUGUGAUUCUGUAGUGGUAUCAAUGAAACAAAGCCUAUCAUUUUAGUAGAAACUCUUAACAGAACUGGGGAGACGGCUCAGGAUCUAUGAGUUGCUUUUGCACAAGCAUGAGGAUCUGGUUUGAGAUUCCUAGUACCUAUAUAAAAGCUGGGCUGUGAUGGCCACACCUAUUACCCUACCAUAGAAGGGGAGGAGACAGGCUGAUCCAAGUGACUCACAAGCCUGCCAUUCUAACUUAAAUGGUGAGCUAAAAGUAGAAGGGGACCCCCCCCCACUUUUAAGGAUGGAGAACAAUAGAAAACUAUAUGUGAUGUUUGCUUUAGGCUGUACAAACUCAUGCACUGCACACACUUGUGCACACACAUACAUACCUCAUGCACACCCUCUCAUUAUGAGAAAUAGAGGAGGGGGCAUGGCACACUAAAUUCACUUCAGUGGCAGUCAGUUUUUCUUUUAAGCUAUACCUGAUAUAUAGAAAUAUAGUUUGCAUAUUAAUUAACAAUAUAAUGGGAUUAUUUGAUCUAUAUUUUAAAUAUAAAAAUAUGAGAUUAAAACAAAAACUAUGAUAUGAAUGUUGGAUAAGAUAGAAUGACAGAGGAAAAGAGUACAAGAGAGGGUACCAGAGUCAGAGACCUUCUUAUUCAUAUACUUAGGAGUUCAAAAACCCACUCAACUGGAAGAUAUAAAGUAGGCCCAGAGGACCUUUUGCCGACCCGUGCAGACCCUGGGCAUAUUUCUUCUGUCUUUGUAAGUUCAUUUGAGUUUCGCUCACGUUGAUUUAGAAGACCUUAUUUAUUUGGUCUCCUCCAUUUCCUCUGGCUCUUACAUUGUUUCUACACCCUCUUCUGCUAUGAUUUAGUACAUUUAUAAACAGAAAAAAUUUAGGGCACAUAACCCUUUUUCCCAGAAAAAAAAAUCCAAAC
rnacentral:lncRNA from 1 species